UACGUAGGGGGCUAGCGUUGUCCGGAAUCAUUGGGCGUAAAGAGCGUGUAGGCGGUCCGGUAAGUCCGCUGUGAAAGUCGGGGGCUCAACCCUCGAAUGCCGGUGGAUACUGUCGGGCUAGAGUGCGGAAGAGGCGAGUGGAAUUCCUGGUGUAGCGGUGAAAUGCGCAGAUAUCGAGGAGGAACACCUAUUGCGAAGGCAGCUCGCUGGGACGUUACGACGCUGAGGCGCGAAAGCGUGGGGAGCAAACAGG
rnacentral:rRNA from 1 species